CGUCCAUUGGCAAAAUCGUCCAGAUCGUCGUAUAACCUAAAACAGAAACCUAACAACACCAAAUCAUUAGAAAUCAAGUUAGAAAUAUUCUACGUGAAGAAAUUGUCUCGAGAAUCUUGCCCAAGCGCCUCCGUCGCCAACCACCAUCGACUCCAAGCACCACACACCUAGGAGCACCUCCAUCUGCAUGUCUCAAAUCCGAUCUCCGUUUCACCAAUGGACCUUUGGACUGCUCGAAAAUCGAGCUUACAAGUCUUAUUUUUUACAAAAAAAAAUCUGGGCAAAUUUUCAAUUUGAUUUCUACUCCAAUUUUAUCAGUUUUUGGAACUAUCUUUUGUUGAAAAUCCACACUAACCACACUCUGAUGCCAUUUGUUGUGGAAGUGAUCUUCAAUUCGUGAAAUCAGGGCGGAGUUUGCAGUGUCUUAUCCUAAUUCAAACACAACCAACGAAAAGUUCAAACCCACAACUACUUUGGUUGCUCCAUUUUGCGCCCACUUAGACACGAUUAUGGCGAUGUAUUCACAAGCCACAAAGAAUGGAAAAACAAUGGGAGAAUAGGGUUAUACUCAAGCACAA
rnacentral:lncRNA from 1 species